GACGAACCGUGCGAACGUUAUUCGGAAUCACUGGGCUUAAAGGGCGCGUAGGCGGGUUCUCAAGUCAGAGGUGAAAUCCCGCGGCUCAACCGUGGAAGUGCCUUUGAUACUGGGGACCUCGAGGGAGGUAGGGGCGUGCGGAACUUCCGGUGGAGCGGUGAAAUGCGUAGAUAUCGGAAGGAACACCGGUGGCGAAAGCGGCGCGCUGGACCUCUUCUGACGCUGAGGCGCGAAAGCCAGGGGAGCAAACGGG
rnacentral:rRNA from 1 species